UGCUGUUUACGGAAGGUUUUGUCGCAGCGCCACCAUGUGGCACCUCCAAACCACUGCAACUACUUGCCACUGAAAUUUGGAAUACGACGGCUACUCGUUCGUCCAGCAGAGGGCGUAAUGUACUCACAAACCAGACGCUGUGCAUAUGGAAGAGGAGGAGGAAGGGACCCACUUGAUGCCGAUCCACCAGAGGAUGAACAUGGUGCAGUGAUGAUAGACGUGGAGGAAGCUGACCUGGUU